rnacentral:rRNA from 1 species
AUUGAACGCUGGCGGCAGGCCUAACACAUGCAAGUCGAACGGUAACAGGAAGCAGCUUGCUGCUUCGCUGACGAGUGGCGGACGGGUGAGUAAUGUCUGGGAAGCUGCCUGAUGGAGGGGGAUAACUACUGGAAACGGUAGCUAAUACCGCAUAAUGUCGCAAGACCAAAGAGGGGGACCUUCGGGCCUCUUGCCAUCGGAUGUGCCCAGAUGGGAUAGCUUGUUGGUGGGGUAACGGCUCACCAAGGCGACGAUCCCUAGCUGGUCUGAGAGGAUGACCAGCCACACUGGGACUGAGACACGGUCCAGACUCCUACGGGAGGCAGCAGUGGGGAAUAUUGCACAAUGGGCGCAAGCCUGAUGCAGCCAUGCCGCGUGUAUGAAGAAGGCCUUCGGGUUGUAAAGUACUUUCAGCGGGGAGGAAGGGAGUAAAGUUAAUACCUUUGCUCAUUGACGUUACCCGCAGAAGAAGCACCGGCUAACUCCGUG